GUCCCCGUAGCGCAAUGGAUAGCGCAUUGAACUUUUAAUUCAAAGGUCGUGAGUUCGAAUCUCACCUGGGAUG
rnacentral:tRNA from 1 species